UGGGGAAUAUUGGACAAUGGGCGCAAGCCUGAUCCAGCCAUGCCGCGUGGGUGAAGAAGGCCUUCGGGUUGUAAACCCCUUUCACCGGUGACGAUGAUGACGGUAGCCGGAGAAGAAGCCCCGGCUAACUCCGUGCCAGCAGCCGCGGUAAUACGGAGGGGGCGAGCGUUGUUCGGAAUUACUGGGCGUAAAGGGCGCGUAGGCGGUUUGCCAAGUUGAGGGUGAAAUCCCGGGGCUCAACCCCGGAACUGCCUUCAAAACUGGCCGACUUGAGUCCGGAAGAGGAGAGUGGAAUUCCCAGUGUAGAGGUGAAAUUCGUAGAUAUUGGGAAGAACACCGGUGGCGAAGGCGACUCUCUGGUCCGGUACUGACGCUGAGGUGCGAAAGCGUGGGGAGCAAACAGGAUUAGAUACC
rnacentral:rRNA from 1 species